UUAAAUUGAAGAGUUUGAUCAUGGCUCAGAUUGAACGCUGGCGGCAGGCCUAACACAUGCAAGUCGAACGGUAACAGGAAGCAGCUUGCUGCUUUGCUGACGAGUGGCGGACGGGUGAGUAAUGUCUGGGAAACUGCCUGAUGGAGGGGGAUAACUACUGGAAACGGUGGCUAAUACCGCAUAACGUCGCAAGACCAAAGAGGGGGACCUUCGGGCCUCUUGCCAUCAGAUGUGCCCAGAUGGGAUUAGCUUGUUGGUGAGGUAACGGCUCACCAAGGCGACGAUCCCUAGCUGGUCUGAGAGGAUGACCAGCCACACUGGAACUGAGACACGGUCCAGACUCCUACGGGAGGCAGCAGUGGGGAAUAUUGCACAAUGGGCGCAAGCCUGAUGCAGCCAUGCCGCGUGUAUGAAGAAGGCCUUCGGGUUGUAAAGUACUUUCAGCGGGGAGGAAGGUGUUGUGGUUAAUAACCGCAGCAAUUGACGUUACCCGCAGAAGAAGCACCGGCUAACUCCGUGCCAGCAGCCGCGGUAAUACGGAGGGUGCAAGCGUUAAUCGGAAUUACUGGGCGUAAAGCGCACGCAGGCGGUCUGUCAAGUCGGAUGUGAAAUCCCCGGGCUCAACCUGGGAACUGCAUUCGAAACUGGCAGGCUUGAGUCUUGUAGAGGGGGGUAGAAUUCCAGGUGUAGCGGUGAAAUGCGUAGAGAUCUGGAGGAAUACCGGUGGCGAAGGCGGCCCCCUGGACAAAGACUGACGCUCAGGUGCGAAAGCGUGGGGAGCAAACAGGAUUAGAUACCCUGGUAGUCCACGCCGUAAACGAUGUCUACUUGGAGGUUGUGCCCUUGAGGCGUGGCUUCCGGAGCUAACGCGUUAAGUAGACCGCCUGGGGAGUACGGCCGCAAGGUUAAAACUCAAAUGAAUUGACGGGGGCCCGCACAAGCGGUGGAGCAUGUGGUUUAAUUCGAUGCAACGCGAAGAACCUUACCUGGUCUUGACAUCCACAGAACUUUCCAGAGAUGGACUGGUGCCUUCGGGAACUGUGAGACAGGUGCUGCAUGGCUGUCGUCAGCUCGUGUUGUGAAAUGUUGGGUUAAGUCCCGCAACGAGCGCAACCCUUAUCCUUUGUUGCCAGCGGUUAGGCCGGGAACUCAAAGGAGACUGCCAGUGAUAAACUGGAGGAAGGUGGGGAUGACGUCAAGUCAUCAUGGCCCUUACGACCAGGGCUACACACGUGCUACAAUGGCGCAUACAAAGAGAAGCGACCUCGCGAGAGCAAGCGGACCUCAUAAAGUGCGUCGUAGUCCGGAUUGGAGUCUGCAACUCGACUCCAUGAAGUCGGAAUCGCUAGUAAUCGUGGAUCAGAAUGCCACGGUGAAUACGUUCCCGGGCCUUGUACACACCGCCCGUCACACCAUGGGAGUGGGUUGCAAAAGAAGUAGGUAGCUUAACCUUCGGGAGGGCGCUUACCACUUUGUGAUUCAUGACUGGGGUGAAGUCGUAACAAGGUAACCGUAGGGGAACCUGCGGUUGGAUCACCUCCUUACCU
rnacentral:rRNA from 1 species